rnacentral:tRNA from 2 species
GGUCGUUAGCUCAGUUGGUAGAGCAGUUGACUUUUAAUCAAUUGGUCGCAGGUUCGAAUCCCGCACGACCCACCA